rnacentral:rRNA from 1 species
CAGCUUGUUGGUGGGGUAAUGGCCUACCAAGGCGACGACGGGUAGCCGGCCUGAGAGGGCGACCGGCCACACUGGGACUGAGACACGGCCCAGACUCCUACGGGAGGCAGCAGUGGGGAAUAUUGCACAAUGGGCGAAAGCCUGAUGCAGCGACGCCGCGUGAGGGAUGACGGCCUUCGGGUUGUAAACCUCUUUCAGCAGGGAAGAAGCGCAAGUGACGGUACCUGCAGAAGAAGCACCGGCUAACUACGUGCCAGCAGCCGCGGUAAUACGUAGGGUGCGAGCGUUGUCCGGAAUUAUUGGGCGUAAAGAGCUCGUAGGCGGCUUGUCGCGUCGGAUGUGAAAGCCCGGGGCUUAACCCCGGGUCUGCAUUCGAUACGGGCAGGCUAGAGUGUGGUAGGGGAGAUCGGAAUUCCUGGUGUAGCGGUGAAAUGCGCAGAUAUCAGGAGGAACACCGGUGGCGAAGGCGGAUCUCUGGGCCAUUACUGACGCUGAGGAGCGAAAGCGUGGGGAGCGAAC